rnacentral:misc_RNA from 1 species
GAUGAAGAACGUAGCGAAAUGCGAUAAGUAAUGUGAAUUGCAGAAUUCAGUGAAUCAUCGAAUCUUUGAACGCACAUUGCGCCCGCCAGUAUUCUGGCGGGCAUGCCUGUUCGAGCGCCAUUACAACCCUCAGGCCCCCGGGCCUGGCGUUGGGGAUCGGCGGAAGCCCCCUGUGGGCACACGCCGUCCCUCAAAUACAGUGGCGGUCCCGCCGCAGCUUCCAUUGCGUAGUAGCUAACACCUCGCAACUGGAGAGCGGCGCGGCCAUGCCGUAAAACACCCAACUUCUGAAUGUUGACCUCGAAUCAGGUAGGAAUACCCGCUGAACUUAAGCAUAUCAUAAGCGGAGGA